rnacentral:tRNA from 14 species
UGCACAGUGGUGUAGUGGUUAGCACCUUCACCUCACAGCACGAAGGUUCUGGGUUCGAAUCCCGGAGUCCAG